ACACUUAAACAGCAGUGGCUGGUUUCUUAUUGAUUCAGUCAUUUGCGCUGGGAUUCGUUAGCGUCAUCAGGCUUUAACUCUCUUACUAGGUCUUCACAGUGUGUAAUACUGCAAGAUGCAGGAAUGUACAAAAUGAUACAGGGGAAGUGAACAGAAUUAGAAGACGUAUGCAGAGCCUCAUAACCCAGACCUGUCCAGUGAAAAGAAGCUGCCCCAAAUCGACCCAUUUAUUACCUAUUCAUUUGUUGUGAUGUAAUCUCUGGGAGGAAAAAAAUAAAAAGAUGCAAUAUGUUAAUGUUUAAACAGUAGAACAUUUUCUGAUCAACUUAGGUUAUUCCUCAAACUGAGAAUCCCAGACAGAAUCUAUAUAAAAUUUAACUCACAUAUGUGAUCACCAACAUUUUUUAUUA